rnacentral:rRNA from 1 species
UACGAAGGGGGCUAGCGUUGUUCGGAAUCACUGGGCGUAAAGGGCGCGUAGGCGGCCGCUCAAGUCGGGGGUGAAAGCCUGUGGCUCAACCACAGAAUUGCCUUCGAUACUGUUGAGCUUGAGACCGGAAGAGGUAAGUGGAACUGCGAGUGUAGAGGUGAAAUUCGUAGAUAUUCGCAAGAACACCAGUGGCGAAGGCGGCUUACUGGUCCGGUUCUGACGCUGAGGCGCGAAAGCGUGGGGAGCAAACAGG